rnacentral:rRNA from 1 species
AUUGAACGCUGGCGGCAGGCUUAACACAUGCAAGUCGAGCGGGGUGAUGGUGCUUGCACUAUCACUUAGCGGCGGACGGGUGAGUAAUGCUUAGGAAUCUGCCUAUUAGUGGGGGACAACAUCUCGAAAGGGAUGCUAAUACCGCAUACGUCCUACGGGAGAAAGCAGGGGAUCACUUGUGACCUUGCGCUAAUAGAUGAGCCUAAGUCGGAUUAGCUAGUUGGUGGGGUAAAGGCCUACCAAGGCGACAAUCUGUAGCGGGUCUGAGAGGAUGAUCCGCCACACUGGGACUGAGACACGGCCCAGACUCCUACGGGAGGCAGCAGUGGGGAAUAUUGGACAAUGGGGGGAACCCUGAUCUAGCCAUGCCGCGUGUGUGAAGAAGGCCUUAUGGUUGUAAAGCACUUUAAGCGAGGAGGAGGCUCUUUUGGUUAAUACCCAAGAUGAGUGGACGUUACUCGCAGAAUAAGCACCGGCUAACUCUGUGCCAGCAGCCGCGGUAA